rnacentral:lncRNA from 1 species
AGGUGACUAAAAUGACAAGUUUAUUCAUAAAAUACUAACAAUUCUUAAAUAUUUAACCUUAUAAAAGAUUCAAAUGAAAAUAAGAUACCAUUUUAUGUGUAUCAAAUUUACUUUAAAAUAAUGCACAAACUAUACAAAACACAAACCAUACAUAUACACAAAAUGUACAUAGUAUAUUUAUACGUUAUAUACUAAUAUACAGUAUUAAGUACUAACAACCAAGUGUUAAAAAUAUUAAAUGUGGGUGAAACUACAGAAAAAGGAACUGUGAUACACUCCUGCUGGUAGUAAAAACUGACUAAAGAUACUGUAUAUAUCUCAAGUCUUAUAUUUCUUCUGAA